rnacentral:rRNA from 1 species
UACGUAGGGUGCGAGCGUUAAUCGGAAUUACUGGGCGUAAAGCGUGCGCAGGCGGUUCGUGAUGUCUGGUGUGAAAGCCCCGGGCUUAACCUGGGAAUUGCAUUGGAAACUAGCGGGCUGGAGUGUGGCAGAGGGGGGUGGAAUUCCACGUGUAGCAGUGAAAUGCGUAGAGAUGUGGAGGAACACCGAUGGCGAAGGCAGCCCCCUGGGCUAACACUGACGCUCAUGCACGAAAGCGUGGGGAGCAAACAGG